UCCCAAAGGGGGUUUGAGGUCCCUAAAAUGGGUUUGAGGUCCCCAAAAUGGGUUUGAGGUCACUAAAGAGGGUUUGAGGUCCCCAGAAUGGGUUUGAGGGCCCCAAAGAGGGUUUGAGGUCCCAAAAUGGGUUUGAGGGCCCCAAAGAGGGUUUGAGGUCCCCAAAGGAGGUUUGAGGUCCCCAAGGAGGGUUUGAGUUCCCCAGAAUGGGUUUGAGGGCCCCAAAGGGGGCUUGAGAUCUUCAAAGAGGGUUUGAGGGCCCCAAGGGGAGUUUGAGGUCCCAAAAAUAGGUUUGAGGUCCCCAAAGGAGGAUUUGAGGUCCCCAAAGGGGGUUUGAGGUCCCCAAGGAUGGUUUGAGGUCCCAAAAUGGGUUUGAGGUUCCCAAAGAGGGUUUGAGGUCCCCAAAGGGGGGUUUGAGGUCCCUAAAGUUGGUCUGAAGGUCCCAAAGUUGGUUUGAAGAUCUCCAAGGUUGGUCUGAAGGUUCCCCAAGGUUGGUUUAAAGAUUCCCAAGGUUGGUCUGAAGGUCCCCAAAGGUGGGUUCAGGGUCCCUAAAGUUGGUCUGAAGGUCCCCAAAGUUGGUUUGAAGAUCCCCAAAGUAGGUUUGAGGUCCCCAAGGUUGGUCUGAAGGUCCCCAAGGUUGGUUUGAAGAUUCCCAAGGUUGGUCUGAAGGUCCCCAAAAGUGGGUUCAGGGUCCCUAAAGUUGGUCUGAAGGUCUCAAGGUUGGGUUUAAAGAUCCCCAAGGUUGGUCUGAAGGUCCCCAAGGUUGGUCUGAAGGUCCCCAAGGUUGGUGUGAAGGUCCCCAAGGUUGGUUUGAAGGUCCCCAAGGUUGGUCUGAAGGUUCUCAGAGUUGGUCUGAAGGUCCCCAAGGUUGGGUUUAAAGAUCCCCAAGGUUGGUCUGAAGGUCCCCAAGGUUGGGUUUAAAGAUCCCCAAG